CCCGAGCGGAAGAGUGUUGACGGUGUGUGAGCUGAAGCUGUUGUGACAAUCUGUAUAUAAAAAUACAUUCUCUAUGCAGACCAAAUCUGGCGUUCUCCUGUCGGUUAUUUUCAACACAACGCAGACCACAGAAGUAUACGGUUACAGAAGCACAACUGGCUAUUUAGCACUCGAUUAAGAGGAGAAAACUAUCAAUUCUAGGGAUAGAAUUUGGGACAGAUUUAUGAAAGUAAAAUUUACAUUGUAUUCUAUUGAUUUCUGUAAAGCUGUUUGGGACAAAGUCCAUUGUUAAAAGCACUAUACAAAUAAAAUGGUAUUAAAUUGAAUUGAACUUUACUUUAUUGGAGGAAUUAUGAGACUAUUAUUUUCACUUGAAUGAAUUUUUUUCAGUAGCAGCAUCUUCCACGAUUUUUAUUAU